CUACGUCAAUGAUGGCCUUCUGCUCUUUGUUGGUAAAUAAUGGCAGAUAAGUUGUAAUUGCACGGAGAAAUAAAGAUUAAUUCAAUCAUAAAUAUACGAGUGGAAAAUAUUUUGUAUCAGUGGCCUAUGGACUUGACGCAGAUGUUUGCAGGUUGACCGUAGCUCCAGAUGGCAUUGACUUUUCAUAAUCGGAGGAUCUUGGUGCAUGCUUGACGACCGUAUGUUCUUCAACAGUGUUGUUGAAAAGCUACUGGCGACUAUGAUACUAGCACUAGAUGGCAUCUCAUGUCUAUAAAUACCUCAUCCAUGAACACUCUCUGAUGGUCAAACGUUUUUUCGGCGGUGUUAGAGAAAUGUACAGGACAACUUUUUUGAGAUGAUGCUAACUUUUCUUUUAAUGGUGAGGGCUGGUGUGGGUAAGUGUGCUAGCUGUGCAUAUGUAAUUAUAGCAUAUAUGAAUGCCAAAAUUCCAUAGCGCAUUUUCCAGUCUGCAUCAUCACAUAAAAAUUCACCUGUAAUACAGUACAAACUCGCUAAUCCAAACUAACAGGAAUCAAUAUCCUAUAAGAAUAUUGAAUAGAAUUGUCGUAGUAGCUAUAGUUGAGUUUAAUUUUAGGAAACAGAAGAAAGUCAAACUGAGAUGUAACAACAUUCUUGUACCGAUAUAAGUUAUGAAUUUUUUAUAAAUCUUCAAUAAUAUUUUAUUAUACCAAUUGAAAACUCAUUGAUGUAUCUGGUAAAUGUAAGUUUCAAUUUACAUCUCAAAAAAAUUAGAAAUAUUUAUAUUGUGUUUUUGUAAUCGACUUCAUUCAAUUGUUGUAAAUAGUAAUAAGGCUUGUGUACAAAAACUACUGAACUGUUCAAGAAGUAUAUGUGAUAAAAUUCAAAUAAGAGAUGAUUCAGUGUUGUAAUAGGGAGGUUUGGAAUCAGCGAGAGUAUACUGAAACAAUCAAAAUAAUAAUUAAUAAUAUCUAUGAAGUAGAAUAGUUAUUUCUACAUGCCUACACACAUUAUGAUAGUAGGUAUAUCAUUCCAGAGGAUCAUAAAUUGGAAAGUUAUAUAUCGUUCAUUGAUACAAAGUCUACUAUUAAGGAGUAGUUUGUAAUCAAAGUGAUGAAAAAUCUAUGAAAUACAUAAUAUUUUAUAUAAUAUACAAGAUAAGUAGUACAGUAUAUGAAUGAGCUAAAUUAUAUGACCAAGUCUUGGUCUUUGUGCGUUUCUUGAAAAUAAUUAUUUGAAUUUCACUAGUAAUAAAAUCUUCUAAAUAAGGUAUAAUAUAACAAUAUUAUUUCCAGAUGAAAGAGUGAGCCAAUAAGUAAUAUUUAUUCAAUCAGAUAGGUUCUAAAAAGCAUUGUCCUAAAUAAAUUAUCAUGCAAUAGUUAUUGAUGUUCAGUCACUAUAAUUAUAUGUGGGUAGAGCACCUUUAUGAGAAAAUCGUUGAUAAACUCAUACUAUCUCAAUUGACAUUUAAUUUAAUUUAAAAUUGUAAAAAAAUAACUACCUAUAGGUUUAGUACUGGAGGUUGUAAAAAACACAAAGAAUAACUAUAGGUUUAGUACUGGAGAUCAGUUCUGAUAAAGCUUGAAAUAGACUAUUCUAUUUCUUCGAAUUGAUCUUUUUUCGAAACAAUUACCUCUCUCACACAAAUGAUUGAUGACAUGGCGAAAAAUGUCGUUAUUUGAAUGCAUAACUGACUAAAACAUGACUGUCAAGUUUCCAGUUAAUUUAAAUUACAGUGAUCCAAAAAAUGUAUUAAAUUUAAACCAAAAAUAGUUUGAAAGAUUUGAAUGAAAAGAGUUGAGCGAUAUUAUCAUUUCAAUAUAAUAUAAUAUUAAAUCGUAUCUUUGUUGAUCAAUAUAAAAGAAAUAGGUACUUCUUCAGAGAGAUCGUAGAUAUAGGCCUACUAAAUGACUGACUAAACAAAGGAGGAUAGCUCUACUCAAUGGCUUUAUAUAAGUAAUUUGAGGAGAGGAGAAACUUAGAGAAACUACUUGGAUGUAGCUGGGAAAUAGCAUCUAACAAAUUGCCUCCUAUCCAAUAGAAUGUUGAACAUCAGUGCCUCAAAGUACCUAAUGUCAUCGAGAUAAAUUUACUUCAAUUACCUCAAACUUCUUUAUUAUAUUUACAGAAUUUACAGAGUAUAACAAUUCUGAUUAGUCCAAAACAGACAGAAAACGUAAUGUAUCAUCAUCUCUGUCGAACAGAUAAUCGAAUUAAAAAUAAUUUAUGGAUAAAUCUAUUACAUUCAACGUUGAUAUGAAUCACUCUGUCACCAGAUCAAUCUUAUAACAAAUUCAAUAAUUCUCUACCAUUAUCAACGUCAAUACACUCCAUAAUUAAUUUAUGAAAUCACAAAAAGUGAGAAUAUUUUUGUUAUUUGUUCCCUCUGAUUGUCAAGGUGUCACCUAAAUAAUGGAAAAGAUCACUGACAUUGUAGGCCUGUUUGAGAAAAGAAAAACUAUUGUAAAAUUGAAAGAGUGCAGUUUAUAGAUGAUACAAAUAUCUGAAUCGAUUAUAGUCACUUGAGACUAGGUACUAUGAAUGAGCCACAACAAGUCAUAUAGCCUAAUAAUUCCAACUGUCCUUACUCAAACGUUUAUAGUGGUACAAAAAAUAUCUAUCAUAUUUCACUGUUUUUGAGAGGAUCAAAAAAUUCAUCUUUUCUUAUUCAAAUAAGAUAUGGGAACAAAUUCAAUGUUUUAUUAGUAUAUUAUUUUUAAAUGUUUACUGUUAGUUAUCAUUAUUCAAGUAUAGUUAAUCAUAGAAUAAUCAAAGUUUAUGAGUACGUUUUUUAGAGAAUAGAUGAUUUUAUAUAUUCAAAUCCUACGUUUUUAUCAAUCAGGAUAAAAAAUGUUACGAUGAUUCCUAUAUAAUAACAAAUUCUAAAACAUUUUAUGAAUAAAUUCUACAUUUUCAAAAUUCAACAUCGUUAAAAGCAUUUUAUUUAAGAGAUAACUACAAGUGCACUAUAAUUAUUUUAAAAAUAGUAUAAAAAGUUCUCCGUUACAUGUACAUACAUACAUCAAUUUAUAAUAUAAUAUACGAGGAUAGAUUAUAUGCGCUCCUACGUUUAACACAAUAAUAUUAUAGUUAGACACCUUUAUCCAAAAUAAGAAGUAUGUCUCUGGAUAACAGUUCUAAACUAUAAACACAAUUAACAACUACAGUUCACCAUAAAAGUGGUCAACGUCAUAGCAUCUAGUUUUCACAUCAACUUAUCACAAAUUAUAAACACCGAGUGUAGAAAAAUAUGUCCAACUAAAUUUUGGAAGUAGAUAUAUUACGCUUCCCGAUAUUUUUCCGAUAAUAAUUGAUAAUAUAUGUUCAGUACUCACAAUAAAUGCAAGAUUUUCUGUGUUAGACAAACUACGCAUCACCUCAGCGUUCACUGAGGACAAGAAUUUGGCAAAAUCAAUAAUAAAUCAACUGAAAGUAUCAUUAUUAUACUCAAUUAUUCACACUUGCACUCCCUCUCUUUCUAAUCACAUAAGUAACAAAGCACAGUUCACACACCGGUUGACUGACAGAGUAAAUGGGUCUGCCUGCUCUUCAUGUACCUUACGAGUAGAUACUUUUAUUCCGGAAUAUAAAGAAUAAAAUAUAAAUUCCGGUGUAGUAAGAUACUUUACAAUAAUACACACACGUGUUUUAUAAUAACAUUAUUGUAGCCCCUACUAGUGUAUAAGGAAUGGAAUAAAUGGGAUUUAUAGUUGAUGAAAAACUAAAGAGAAAUCACUAAUAAGGAAUCCAAAAGCAAUAAUAUAAAAUGUUAUCUCUAGGAAAAGCAACUUUCUACAUUGUACAACAAAAUAUAAUUUUCAAUGCUGAUUCCAAUAAUAUUUUUAUUUUAUGUUCAAUGAAAUAUCAUAUUUUUUCAACUUAUAGUCAUUUCAUCAUAAUGUGAUUACAGUAUGUAUAAAUUACUAUAAAGUAUUUCAAUUUAGUGUAAUCCUCGAUUUUUUAAAAUAAUAUAGGCCUAUAUGAUUCCAUAAUAUUAACAGCUAUUUAAACGCUUGUGAGAGUCAUAAUAUUAUCAAUAACAAAUUGUUAUCAAUCAAAAGUAAGAGCCAGAAAAAAAAAUUCAGUGUAACAAAAAUAAUACAGUCUCCACCUUGAUUUAGAAUAAUUAAUCUCCGUAUUUCAUAAAUGAGUAUUUUCAUAACGAUUUAAUACAAGAUAACUCCUUUUCAAGGAGAAGUUCUUCAUCAAUAGAUGUCGAUAAGUUGUUGACAGUUUCAUACAGGCUUAUUUCUCAAGCAAAUCCAUGUUCCACACGUUUCAAAACAGAUACCUAGUGAGAGUUUAUAAGAAAACUGCCUAAAAUUCAUAGCCCACUGACCUAAUAAACUUAGGAACUGAGAAAAGUGGCAUUGGGAAGGCAAUCUUCAGACCUAAAAUAUGCAACAAAACUGCUAAUUUUGAGAAAAUUGGACACUGAUUUGGAGGAAGGCCUGAGUAAAGAAAGUUGCACAAUGUUCUGAAACACUUCUACACUGAAAUAGUUUUUGAAAAUUGCGACCCAUUUACUCUGUCUGAAUACAUGGAUGACAGCUAGUCAUACACCAGGAUACACAUUUCAUUCAAAUGCCCCACAUACAUUGCAAAAGCUGCAUGUAAACGACUAAUUUACGUAUUAUAAAUAUUAUAAUACACAUUACAUAUUAUACAUCAUGUAUUAUAAUAUUAUGUAUUAUUUUACAGCUGUCAGGUGUUCAGUACAGUGAGCAAUAUUUCGUACUAAGAAAGAAAACAUGUAACCCUAAUCUAAGGAUUAUAUUUUUAUCUAGAAAUUCGACUACAAAAUAUAUUCAUACAACUUUAAUAUUAUACUUUUCAUAGCCUGAUUAAAACUACAUAAUUUUCUAGAUUAAGCAGAAGAUUCUCUUGCUGGAAAUGCUUUGAAGACUUGCGGAAACUUUGAAAUCGAAUUUCGAAUACAAUAAUCAUUUCUAAUAAUUGAACUUUAUUUAGUAAUUUUGUUCAUAUUUGGUAAGAGGUAAGUUAAAUAUAAAUUUAACUUCGUCAAAACCGAAUAUGACGUGAGUUAUGAAAACAGUUUAUACUUUUCUCAAAAAAGAAAAAUAAUAUAACUCAUAGAAUGUAGCACUACACAGUAGUGAAUAAUAUAAUUAUGAAGAUCAUUAAUACAAGACCAUUCAUUUCAAAUAUGUGAGGAUAUUAUAGUAAUUGAGUCAAAAAGAAUCAAUCCGGUCUUUAAGUGGAGAAGAAUCCUUGCAUGAAAUUCAAUAACUUAAUUCAACUAAAUAACUUAACUUUAAAUAAGAUCCAAUUAACUGUCUUAUCAGGAAUGCACAUCGAAUAUAAAUUUUACAAAUGAGCACCUAACGUUUGACCUUUCUUAUGUUUCAUAUAAUGGAAAAUCUUUGCCCCGCAAGUCCAUUUCCAUCGAGACAAGAAAACUUCUAGCUUGUAACUUGGCCAGAUUCAUGCUCCACUUUAUAGUUGAGUAUUUAUUUGACAGUAUUUCACUAAUAUAGUGAUAUUAUUUACUAUCAAACGCACUCCCAAUCUUAAGAAAAAUUUUAUAAACAGGAGUAGUUUAUCACUUGAAUCAGGAACAUGAAUCGAAUGGCUGGUCCUAAGAGGAUAGUAUUCAUCCAAACAAGAUCAUUCACUAAAAGUUAUAAAUCUAUAUAAUUGAGGGGAAGAUAAAUGAUAAAUACACAUAAAUGAUCUGGAAUGUGAAACA